UCGUUGUGUUGUAACAGAAACAG
rnacentral:tRNA from 1 species